AUGGAAAUAAAAUAGAAAUCCACAAAGUCUUUCAAAACACCAAACAAAUGGCCAAGAAAAUUAUGGAAGACUGGAAAUAAAAUGAGAAACACAUGAUAAAAUUUUCAAAAUUUAAAAAUGCAGAAAAUUAUUUUUAAACCAAUUAAAACAAAAGAGAAAAGAGAAAAUUCAUGAAAAAUAAAAAAUCAAUGAAAUAAAAUAUGGAAAAAUAAAAAUCAGCUGGAGCAAAAUAAAAGAGAGUUUUAGAAAUUAUUUUGGGAUUUUUUGGAUAAAAAAUGAAAUUACUAUGAUUUUUAAAUAAAAUAAAAUUUAAAAUAAUAAAAGAAAAAGAGUAAAAAUCAGAAAAAACCAGGAGCAUUGGAUCAUGCCUCAUUAACUGACGUGACAGAUCCAACACUCCAAAUGAUGAGAAACACGAUCAAGCAUGCUACAAUCAGAACACAUGCUCCAGUUUGAAUUUAACCAAUCAAAACAUUUCAAAAUGCCAACGUGUCUGGUCCAAACACAGACCACCUGAGAAAUACUUCGAUCAUCUUCUCUAGUGAUCUCUCAC
rnacentral:lncRNA from 1 species